CCCGCAGCAACAGCGACAGCCAGAGCAGAGGCCGCAGUGGCGGCUGUGUCCAUGCCGGGGUGUCCAUUGCUUUCUUGGAUGUUCUGAGCAGUCACUCAGCAGAAGAGCGAUACAGAAUCCUCUGAAGACAAAUUACUCAAGUUUACAUCAGCCUCCACUACUUGUUGGCAAUAUGACCCCAAGUGUUCACAUUUAGCCUCUUUCCCACCACCACCUUGCCUCA